rnacentral:misc_RNA from 1 species
AAAUGAUUUUUUUUUUUUAAUUUUUAUGCAUGAGAAACUUUCAAUUCUAUUAAAAAAGGAAAUAGUGAUGAAUUGGAUUUUGACAAGAAGAAAAUAUUUAUAUUUAUGGAGUUGAGGGCAAUCCAUGUAUUGCAACGGAUAUUUUAAUUGGUUCAUUAACUAGAUUUAGGAUCUGGCAAUAGUAGAUAGGCAAUAUUUGGGGCCAUUUUAUGGUCUUACCAUUUGUUAGUUGUCUACUUUAUAUGACAUUAACUUACUCCUUGACAUUUGGAUGUGAAGCAUGAAUCUUUUUCUUUCACUUUACUUUUUUUGGGACCCUUGUCUAUUUUUACAGUGCAUCGUAUGUCUUAACUGUAAAGCCUAUGGGCUCUGGGCCUUUCCCUUUUGUGAACUCAUUAAAAGAAAUCUAGCUAUUUUUUCCCGUAUGAUUUAAUUAUUUGAGUUUCUUUUGCAAUCUUAUUCUCAAUUCAUUAGCAUCUUUAUCUUUCAUAUAAUAGGGUUGUAGUUCUUGUCUUGUGCCAUCAACCAGUGAACUCACAAAAUUUGGUUUUAUCAGCUAUACCCUCACUUCUCAUCUCUGAACAUCAGAAUGAUAGUGGUCAUUGAUUUAUUACCAACACAAGAAGAUAAGGGCCCCAAUUUGAUUCAUGUUAUGUUUCUUGUCUGAUUCAUUUUCUCCCAUUCUUUAAUUGCCUUGGGGACAGUUGCAAAGAAUACUCGUUUCCUAUAAAUGUACACAAGUCUGCUCUUUAUUUUUUCUUCCCAAACAAGAGAGAGUGAAUAGAAUAAAAAUAAAUAAAGGUUAGCUUUUUCAAUUGUCAGAAGAGGAAUAGAUAAUGAAAGCUUCCCCUUUUGUCCAUUCUUCCCGAAGUGUGCAAGAUGUAUUAUAACUAUGAAGAAGGAAUAAAGGGAAAAGGAAGAUAUAAUCUUGACUAGUGCAACAAAAGUUAUGUCAUAUUUUAAAUAUUUUGUGAUGU